AUGGCAGGCAGCCGACGGGGCGGUGCCACGGGCGCCUUCACGGUUACCGGAAAGUUCAAGCCGGUGCCUGAAUACGCUUUAACCUUUGUCCGCGACUACGACAUCAAGGGCAUCGGGGCCAUGUUAGCUAAAGCUGCUCCUUGCUCGAUGGAGGAACGGAUCGAACUCUUCAGGAAGAAUGUGGAACAAUUCAAGAAGCCUAAUGCCUUUGGAACAUUCCCCAAUAAAGGCAUGUCCAAGGCCAAGGACGAGGAAGAGGAGGGCGAGGAGAGCGAGGGGGAGGAUGACGAGGUGGAUGCAGAUGCUGGCGAUGAUGUGUAUGAAGAUGAUGAGUACAGUGAAGUUGAAGAUGAUGAGUACAGUGAAGUUGAAGAUGACGAGGACGGUGAAGGAGUAGAUGAGGAGACACUGAAGCUUCAAGUCCCUAAUGAAGGUGGACGAGCUUGCAAGAAGCCAAGGUUGGCAGAAGGCUUUGGGUGCCAGACUGAGGCUGCAGUUUAG
rnacentral:rRNA from 1 species